rnacentral:rRNA from 1 species
AUAUUAAUAAGGGGAGGAAAAGAAACUAACAAGGAUUCCCUUAGUAACGGCGAGUGAAGCGGGAAGAGCUCAAUGUGAGAAUCGAUUCCCCAAGCGGGGCAUCGAGUUGUAGCCUCUGGACGUAUUGUCAGCUGGACACUGGGUACAAGUUCUUUGGAAUGAGGCAUCGUAGAGGGUGAGAAUCCCGUAGAUGACCUAGCCGCUUCCAGCGUACGACGUAUGUUCCUCGAGUCGAGUUGUUUGGGAUUGCAGCUCUAAAUGGGUCGUAAGUUUGAUCUAAAGCUAAAUAAUGGCGAGAGACCGAUAGCGCACAAGUA